rnacentral:rRNA from 1 species
UCAGAUGACGCGCCGGCAGGCUUAACACUGCAAGUCGAGCGAGAGAGGUAGCUUGCUACUGAUNUAGCGGCGGACGGUGAGUAAUGCUUAGGAAUCUGCCUNUUAGUGGGGACAACAUCUCGAAAGGGAUGCUAAUACCGCUACGUCUACGGGAGAAAGCAGGGGAUCUUCGGACCUGCGCUAUAGAUGAGCUAAGUCGGAUAGCUAGUUGGUGGGGUAAAGGCCUACCAGGCCGACGAUCUGUAGCGGGUCUGAGAGGAUGAUCCGCCACACUGGGACUGAGACACGGCCCAGACUCCUACGGGAGGCAGCAGUGGGGAAUAUUGGACAAUGGGGGGAACCCUGAUCCAGCCAUGCCGCGUGUGUGAAGAAGGCCUUAUGGUUGUAAAGCACUUUAAGCGAGGAGGAGGCUACUUUAGUUAAUACCUAGAGAUAGUGGACGUUACUCGCAGAAUAAGCACCGGCUAACUCUGUGCCAGCAGCCGCGGUAAUACAGAGGGUGCAAGCGUUAAUCGGAUUUACUGGGCGUAAAGCGCGCGUAGGCGGCUAAUUAAGUCAAAUGUGAAAUCCCCGAGCUUAACUUGGGAAUUGCAUUCGAUACUGGUUAGCUAGAGUGUGGGAGAGGAUGGUAGAAUUCCAGGUGUAGCGGUGAAAUGCGUAGAGAUCUGGAGGAAUACCGAUGGCGAAGGCAGCCAUCUGGCCUAACACUGACGCUGAGGUGCGAAAGCAUGGGGAGCAAACAGGAUUAGAUACCCUGGUAGUCCAUGCCGUAAACGAUGUCUACUAGCCGUUGGGGCCUUUGAGGCUUUAGUGGCGCAGCUAACGCGAUAAGUAGACCGCCUGGGGAGUACGGUCGCAAGACUAAAACUCAAAUGAAUUGACGGGGGCCCGCACAAGCGGUGGAGCAUGUGGUUUAAUUCGAUGCAACGCGAAGAACCUUACCUGGCCUUGACAUAGUAAGAACUUUCCAGAGAUGGAUUGGUGCCUUCGGGAACUU